UGACAAGAAAUGUUUUCUCUCUUUAAUUCAUUAUUUAGACAACCCUAUUACAUAUGGCUUUGACUCUUUUUGUAGUGUCCAUUCAAUGUGUUACACACUCAAGAAGGACAGGGAAAUAUUUUUUUAGUAAGCAGGACAUUUCCUUUUUGGUUUUAGAGCGCUUUUUAAAAAAAAUUAAAAUCAGAUUUGUGGUAUUGAUAUCCCAGGAUAAUGGCCAUGAGUUUAAUUGGCAUAUAUUUCUUCUCAAAUCUUGACUGUCCUGAUCCAUGCUUCUGCUGACUGAAGCCUUCAGCUGAAGUUUCUGAAAAACUAUUUAGGCUUCACUUGGUCAGUUGCCCUUUAGAGCUUUGCUUUGUGGAUUCUUCUUGGUAACUGCUUCUUGUUCUUUCCAUGCCUAGUAUUUCUGGCAUCAGGUCAAACAAUGGAGACCACUGUUUGUUUGUUUUUGGUUUAAUGUGUGUGUGUGUGUGCAAUCUUAAUUGUUUCUUCCUGCAGUCUCCUUUUCACUUCUUCAACCUAAAGGC
rnacentral:lncRNA from 1 species